rnacentral:lncRNA from 1 species
UCGCGGGCGGCGGUGAUGCGACAGGGACCCUCGCGCGCGGAGGCCUCUGGGCGAGCGGCGGCUGUCGCGGCUCCUGCUGUUGGCGCGCGGUCUGAAAGCGCGUGCGUGCGUCUGCCUUUUUUCCCCCUCGCUUCGGCCCUGUUGGCGUCCUUUUUUGUUCUCGCCGGUGCUGUUUUCCUGGCGCCCUCUCUCUUUCUUUCGCGCGCGUGCUGGUCGGCGGUCUCUCCUUGGCGCUCGCUCGCUCUUUUUUUGCUUUGCUUUGCUCUGCUUGGCUUCUCCUUGCCUCGUCCUACUAGAGACGCCCGCGUACACGCGCAAAGGAGCGGUGUGAGAGGGGGGACUGCGUGUGUGCUCGGAAGGCGG